UACGUAGGAGGCAAGCGUUGUCCGGAGUUACUGGGCGUAAAGCGCACGCAGGCGGUCCUAUUAGUCUGGGGUGACAGUUCCCGGCUUAACCGGAAAAGGACUCUGGAAACUGUAGGACUUGAGGGCUUCAGAGGGAUGUGGAAUUCCAGGUGGAGUGGUGAAAUGCGUAGAGAUCUGGAAGAACACCAAAGGCGAAGGCGGUCUGCUGGGCAGUUGCUGACACUGAGGCGCGACAGCGUGGGGAGCAAACAGG
rnacentral:rRNA from 1 species